UACAUAGGGUGCAAGCGUUGUCCGGAAUUAUUGGGCGUAAAGAGCUCGUAGGUCGUUUGUUACGUCGGAUGUGAAAACCUGAGGCUCAACCUCAGGCCUGCAUUCGAUACGGGCAAACUAGAGUGUGGUAGGGGAGACUGGAAUUCCUGGUGUAGCGGUGGAAUGCGCAGAUAUCAGGAGGAACACCGAUGGCGAAGGCAGGUCUCUGGGCCAUUACUGACACUGAGGAGCGAAAGCGUGGGGAGCGAACAGG
rnacentral:rRNA from 1 species